rnacentral:lncRNA from 1 species
AACAUAAAGAAAUAGGACAUCCAUUCUAGGCUAGGCAAGGCUUUUUAGAGGAUAUUAUGGAAAUGAGAAAGAACAAAUUUAAUUUUUAUAAUGCCACUCCAUUUAACUUUAAAAUACAAGGUCAAGGUACUGUGUUUUUCAUAAUGAUUAAAGAUUUGGAGUGCUCUUUCUGUUGAACCCUCCUGCAUUUGUUUGGCAGGAAAUGAAUGAAAAUGAGUGUUUCUUUCAGCCUUAGAAGGUGGAUGAUCAUGAAGAGUUCCAUUUAGGGGGCAAGAGAUUCUAGCAUUGCCUUUUUAAUAGUUUACCAAAUAUUCACAACGAUAUUUAGACGGGAUAAUUUUUUGCAAACCCUUUUAAGGAUAAUUUAUUCUGAUUGGCAGAAACAUACCUUUUAGUACAUAAAUGGUAUGCUUUGAGAUAAAUAUCACCAUAGAGAACAAACACUAAGUAAUGACAUUGAAUUAAAAGACAUCGGAGAGGCAACAGUGACCAGCAUUUAUUAAAGUAAAAAGGACAGUGUAAACAGAUAUGCCUUGCAUUCUGUUCUGAAGAUUAACAGGCAGGGUCAGUCUUUGACAUCAUGGUGGGCAGGAGGUUCUUGAAGUAGUAAUCCCCAAUCAAGGUUCUGCUGCACCCAGAAAAGAACAGCUUGCAAAAUUCUUAUCUUUCCUUGUACACACCAAACUACUGGCCAUAUGCUAUCACGAGGUUUACUUUCUAGGGAAUGAGAACAAAAAAUCAUAUCAAUUCCUAAUUAACCCUUAGAAUUCUUCAGAAUGAUAGGUACAUGACGGUCUUCAUGUUUGUGCAGUAUGGCAAUGGGAAUUGAUCACACACAAUAUUUUUAAGCCACUGUUUUAGAUUCAUACAAUAUCAGUGAAACCAUGUCAAACUAGUAUAUAGCUGUGGUAUUUAUAUUUCCCAAAUAACUACUCAAUAAAUAGAUGAAAUCAACAAAAUUGAUUUAUCCUCUGACUUAAAAAAUAUCAUCUAAGACAAGCUUAUUGAAGUUGUCAUUGUUCUUUCUGAACCUUUGUUGUGCCAGGAGGAACAGAUGGCAAAAUCAAAAAUGAUUAGAGAAUCACUGGGGUGGAGAUAAGAAUGGGAGGAGGUGGGGGGUGUGCUGCCCAGUGAGACCUGCUAGCAGCUUCCCUGAGCAGUAUGUUAACCCAUGACAGUGUUAGAAAUCUGUACCCCUAAAUUGUUUGACAUCCUGAUAAACACCUGAUGCUUCAUAUUCUGCUUUUCAGCAGAAUUCUCUUGUUUUUUCACUCCAAAACUCAAAGAUCAAAUUUUCAAGUGGCAAUAGAUGCACCUUUUCCUCCUUUUUCAAUUCCUUUUUGUUUUAUGAAGGUAUAAUUUAUAUCUGAUAAAAUUUACCCUUUUACAUAUAUAAUUUAAUGAGUUUUGACAAACAUAUGUAGUUGUGAACCAUCACCACAAUGAAGAUAAAGAAUAAUCUCAUCCCCUCAAAAUGUUUUUUCAUACCUUUCCUGCAGUGAGUACUUUCCCCACCAAGUCCCUGGCAAACAAUGAUAUGUAAAAGCAGUUUUAAUAUGAAAAGCAUUAUAUAUAUAUAUGGCAGCAUCAUUGGUAAUAAAUAAGAUCUAUUCAUUGAUUCUCUCUGCUUUUUUGAGCAUCUCUAUGUGCUAGUCCUUAGCAUUAUGUUGCAUUAUGUUGUAGCUCCUCCCCUUAAGCAGUAAACUAAUGAAAAAGAAAAAUAGGUGGUGUAAUAAUAGCUCUAUCUAGUAGAAGAUUCUCCAGUGCUAGAAAUGCUCCAUAAUGUUGCAUUUGAGCACUUGAAGUGUGCUGAGUGGAAAUGAACUGAAUUUUUAACUUUAUUUAACUUUAAUUAAUUUAAUACAUAUAGUGACAUGUGGCUAGAAGCUAAUCUAUUGGAAAGCACAGCUUCAAUACAAUGUGAUAUUUUGAUAUGUUGCAAAGCAAAACUUUAACCAAGGGCUAAAACUUGAACGUUAUGAAUGUUAUUGGUGUUGUCUUAUAUAGAGUAAACUUUUAAUAGAAAAAAAAAUUCUUUAAAUGGUCAAAGACCUGAGAAAGUUUCCUUCUCAAGGGAAAAUACAUUGACUUCUAAAUUCAAAAUAUGUAAGAACUGCCCUUUUAGGGUAAUUCAUGAGAAUUUCCUUUGGGUUUCUUAUCCUUAUUCUAUACAUAACUCAUUUUAGGUGGAAACUUAGAGAUUGUGAGUCAGCAUUUUAUGUGGUUCUCCGUAUUCUUUAUUCUGAUAAAGAUACACAUUAAGUAAAAUUAAUUUGACAGAAAAAAAUAUUAUCUUCAUGGUAUAGAAGGCAUUUAUAAUAUUUUAAAUAGUCCCUUUAUAAAAGGUCCAGAAUACUAUGCAACUCUGGCUCUCAUAGUCUACUAAAAAUCAAGUAUCCAAAAGCCAUUUUUAUAUCUGUUUCUAAUUGUGUAUUAAUAUUUCAAGGUCUGUAAUUAGAAAUUGAAUUUGUGUUAUUUGUUCAAAUUUUUAACCAUUUGGUCAUUACAGGGUCAUAUAAUGUGGUAAAGUCUUCAAAUAUAAAGUGUUCAUUCAAAAUUGUAAAUGUCUUCUGAGAAAAAAAAUUCCAGUUCUAAACUCUGAACACCCAUUAUCCAUAUAAUUAUGGUGAGAAUUUGCAACUAAUAGGAACACAUGCUAUGGAGGAACCAAUUUAAAAGUAACUUGAUUAUGAAUGAAACUCCAUUUCAAGAAGUAUUUCUAUCAAAACCAUCAUGGUAACUUUAUCCCAUAUGAUCCCUAACCUAUUUCAGAGCCAAUUUUAUCCAUUAGGAAUUUUCUCAAUCCACUGGCUAUUCACUUUAUCACAGUAUUAUAUGAAACAAUCUCUGGGGUUCAAGAAUUAACUUCUUUUUUGUGACAAUUAGCUAUUUUAUUUGAUAUUGUUAUUGAAGUAUAGUUGAUUUAAAUAUUGUGUUAGUUUCUGGUGUAGACCAAAGUAAUUAGAAUAUAGAUAUUNAAUAUAGUUUCCAGUGCUAUACAGUGGACCUUUUUGCUGUUUAUCCAUUAUAUAUAUAAUAGUUUGCAUCUGCUAGUUCCAAAGUCCCAAUACAACCCUCCCUUACCACCCCUCCUCCUUGACAACCACAAGUCUGUUCUCUAUGUCUGUGGGUCUGUUUCUAUCUCAUAAAUAAAUUCAUUUGUGUCAUAGUUUAUAUUGCACAUAUAAGUGAUAUCAUACAGUAUUUGUCUUUCUCUUUCUGACUUACUUCAGUAAGUGUCCUAAUCUCUAGGUCCAUCUAUGUAGUUGCAAAUUCUUUUCAUGGCUGAGUAUUAUUCCAUUGUAUAUAUGUACCACAUCUUUUUUAUCCAUUCGUCUGUUGAUGGACGUUUUGGUUGUUUUCAUGUCUUGGCUAUUGUAAAUAGUGCUACUAUGAACAUAGGGGUGUGUGUAUCUUUUUGAAUUAUAGUUUUGUCCAGGAAUACACCCAGGAAUGGGAUUGCAGGAUCAUAUGACAACUCUAUUUUUAGUUUUUUAAGGAACCUCCAUACUGCUCUCCUUAGCGGUUGUACCAAUUUUCAUUGCUACCAACAGUGUGGGAGUGUUCCCUUUUCUCCACAACAUCCAGGUUCAAGAAUCACAGAGAGUCCCAAACAAGAUGAACACAAACAGACCUGCAUCAAGACAUAUUAUAAUUAAAAUGCCUAAAGAUAAUGAGAAGAUUCUAAAGGCAGCAAGGAAAAAACAAGGAGUUAAUUACAAGGGAACCUCCAUAAGGCUUAUGAGCAGAUUUUUUUUUUUUUUUUUUUACGGAAACAAUGCAGGCAAAAAGGUAGGAGCAAGAUAUAUUUAAAUUCCUAAAAGAGAAAAAUGUACAACCAAGGAUACUCUAUCCAGUAAAAUUAUCAUUUAGAACAGGAGAGGUUUUCUUAGACAAGCAAAAGCUAAAAGAAUACAGCAAUACUAAGCCUACCCUAGAAUAAAUAUUGAAAGUCUUCUCUCAACAGAAAAGAAGCAGCAAGAAUCUAUAGAAAAAUCACAAUUGUAAAGUAAAUCACUUAAGCCAGUAUACAGAUUUUUUUAAAUCAAAAUAUUUUUUCUGAAAGUGAUGAUAACCACAAUGAACAACAAAAGGAUAAACAUGAAAAUGUAAAAGAGGACAUCAAAAUCAUAAAAUGUGAAGGAGGAAGUAAAAAAAAAAUGUAGAUUUUUUUUUUUUUAGAAUGUGUUUGAGCCUGUGUGACUACCAGUCUAAAGCAAGAAGGGGUUAACCUACUUGAGAAACAGGGUAACCACAAAUCAAUAAUAUACAAUAGAUUCACGAGGAGUUGGUUCUUUGAAAGGGUAAACAAAAUUGACAAACCUCUGGCUAGGCUCACCAAGAAGAAAAUAGAGGGGACCUAAAAACCAAAAAA